GGAAUUCCAACAUAAUUACAAUGGAAGUCCCAGAAGAAGACAAGAGAAAUACAGCACCAUCAAAAUGCAUACAUACAUACAUAUAUAUAUAUAUGUGUGUAUAUAUAUGUUCAUAUAUAUAAACAAAUAAUGGCAUAAAAUUUCUCAAAUCAGAUGAAAAACUCUAUUCUCCAUGUAAAAUAAGCUCAAUGAAUUUCAAGUGUGGUAAACUCAAAUAGAUCGACACCCAGAGACAUCGUAAUCUAACAUCAUAACAUAACUUUCAAAAGACAAAGAGAGAAUCUUGGAAGCAGUCAGAGAAAGGUGACUCAUCACAUACAAGGGAUUCUCCUUAAGAAUGUUGACUGACUUUCCAUUGGAAACCAUGGAGGCCAGGGGCUGGCCUGGUGGUGCAGCGGUUAAGUUCGCAUGUUGUACUUCAGGUGCCUAGGGUUAGCCGGUUCGGAUGCCGUGUGUGGACAUGGACCACUUGACAAGCCAUGCUGUGGUAGGCAUCCCACAUACAAAGUAGAAGAAUAUGGGCACGGAUGUUAGCUCAGGGCCAGUCUUCCUCAGCAAAAAGAGGAUUGGCAGCAGCUAGCUCAGGGCUAAUCUUCCUCAAAAAAAAAAAAAAGAAAGAAACCAUGGAGGCCAGGAGGCAGUGGGAUGGAAUAUCCAAAGUCAUGAAAGAAAAAAGGCUGCCAACCGGUAAUUCUAUAUGCAUCAGAACUGUUUUUAAAUAAGUAGAAGAAAUUAAGACAUUUCCAGAUAACAUCUGAGAAAAUUUGUCACCAGAAUACCUUUCCGACAAAAAAUACUAAUGAGUGAAAUUCAAGGGCACUAGGUGGUAACUGAGAUCCAUGCAGGAAAUAAAGAGCGCUGAUUCAGCUUGUCUAUGUAGGCAAACAUAAAAAUAGGUUCCUUAGGAAUGUGAUGACACCCGGACAGAGAGCCUAUGCUGAUAGCCAUCAUCAACGACAACUGGAAGAUCUGGAGUGGAGACUCCCAUCUGUAACACCAGAGGGUCAACAUUCCUAACCUCCUCCCCUAUGACCCACUGGCCUAUAUAACUGCUCAAGAUUCUGUGCCCCCCUUAAAAUGGUUCUUAGGACCCUGGUCCACCAACUUUCAAUCUGCUAGCUUAUCACUUAAUAAAAUGCCCUUUCUCUGCCACCAUCUUGCUUUUUGAUGAUAGGCUUUCGUCUCGCAGCAAGCAGGUCCUGCCCUUUGUGCCAUAACAUGUCUAUCUAUCAAUCUAUCUAUCUAUCUAUCUAUCUAUCAUGUAUUUAUCAGAGGGAAUAAUUUUUAUAUAAUAUCACAGAAUAUAACAUUUCUUCUUAUGUGAAUUAUUUUUGUGAAUGUUAAAAUUUUCUUUUUUCUCCACUCUGCUUUUUCAAAGAUCCAUUUCUUUUGAGUUUGGCUUUUCAUAUCUCAC
rnacentral:lncRNA from 1 species